rnacentral:rRNA from 1 species
UACAGAGGUCUCAAGCGUUGUUCGGAUUCCUUGGGCGUAAAGGGCGAGUAGGCGGCAUUCUAAGUCAGACGUGAAAUCCCCCGGCUUAACCUGGGAACUGCGUCUGAUACUGGGAAGCUAGAGUAUGGGAGAGGGAUGCAGAAUUCCAGGUGUAGCGGUGAAAUGCGUAGAUAUCUGGAGGAAUACCGGUGGCGAAGGCGGCAUCCUGGACCAUAACUGACGCUGAUCCGCGAAAGCUAGGGGAGCAAACGGG